rnacentral:rRNA from 1 species
UACAGAGGGGGCAAGCGUUGUUCGGAAUUACUGGGCGUAAAGGGCGCGUAGGUGGCCUUCUAAGUUGAACGUGAAAUCCCUGGGCUCAACCCAGGAACUGCGUCCAAGACUGGGAGGCUUGAAUCCGGGAGAGGGAUGCGGAAUUCCAGGUGUAGCGGUGAAAUGCGUAGAUAUCUGGAGGAACACCGGUGGCGAAGGCGGCAUCCUGGACCGGUUCUGACGCUGAGGCGCGAAAGCGUGGGGAGCAAACAGG